UACGUAGGGCGCAAGCGUUGUCCGGAAUUAUUGGGCGUAAAGAGCUCGUAGGCGGUGUGUCGCGUCUGCUGUGAAAACUCGAGGCUCAACCUCGGGCUUGCAGUGGGUACGGGCACACUAGAGUGCGGUAGGGGUGACUGGAAUUCCUGGUGUAGCGGUGGAAUGCGCAGAUAUCAGGAGGAACACCGAUGGCGAAGGCAGGUCACUGGGCCGCAACUGACGCUGAGGCGCGAAAGCUAGGGGAGCAAACAGG
rnacentral:rRNA from 1 species